CCUGACCUCACUGUUUCCAUCAGCACCUCUGAUCGAAGAAUUAGAGAAUGCCUAAUCUUUUGGCAUGUAAACUGCACAAAAGCCUCAGACCUAGGUACCUGUUUAGGGCAAAGAAGUCAUAUUUCAUCCCAAUAACAAAUUGAAGAAAGAUGGGAAUCUGGAAGGUUCUUAAUAAUUGAUGGAGAAAAUUCACGCAGAGGUGGAAGAAG
rnacentral:lncRNA from 1 species